rnacentral:rRNA from 1 species
GACAGAGGAUGCAAGCGUUAUCCGGAAUGAUUGGGCGUAAAGCGUCUGUAGGUGGCUUUUUAAGUCCGCCGUCAAAUCCCAGGGCUCAACCCUGGACAGGCGGUGGAAACUACCAAGCUGGAGUACGGUAGGGGCAGAGGGAAUUUCCAGUGGAGCGGUGAAAUGCGCAGAUAUUGGAAGACCACCAAUGGCGAAGGCACUCUACUGGGCCAUUACUGACACUGAGAGACGAAAGCUAGGGGAGCAAAUGGG